rnacentral:rRNA from 1 species
CCUACGGGUGGCAGCAGUGGGGAAUUUUGGACAAUGGGGGAAACCCUGAUCCAGCCAUUCCGCGUGAGUGAAGAAGGCCUUCGGGUUGUAAAGCUCUUUCGGCAGGAACGAAACGGCGGACUCUAACAUAGUCUGUCAAUGACGGUACCUGAAGAAGAAGCACCGGCUAACUACGUGCCAGCAGCCGCGGUAAUACGUAGGGUGCGAGCGUUAAUCGGAAUUACUGGGCGUAAAGCGUGCGCAGGCGGCUUUGUAAGACGGAUGUGAAAUCCCUGGGCUUAACCUAGGAACUGCGUUCGUGACUGCAAAGCUAGAGUGCGGGAGAGGAGAGCGAAAUUCCUGGUGUAGCGGUGAAAUGCGUAGAGAUCAGGAGGAACACCGGUGGUGCAGACGGCUCUCUGGACCGUGACUGACGCUGAGGCACGAAAGCGUGGGGAGCAAACAGGAUUAGAUACCCCUGUAGU